UGCCAGCCGCCGCGGUAAUACGGAGGGUGCAAGCGUUAUCCGGAUUCAUUGGGUUUAAAGAGUACGUAGGCGGUUUAGUAAGUCAGUGGUGAAAACUAACAGCUCAACUGUUAGCCUGCCAUUGAUACUGCUAGACUUGAGUAUAGUCGAGGUGGGUGGAAUUCCACAUGUAGCGGUGAAAUGCAUAGAUAUGUGGAGGAACACCGAUAACGAAGGUAACUCACUAGGCUAUUACUGACGCUGAGGUACGAAAGCGUGGGGAGCGAACGGGAUUAGAUA
rnacentral:rRNA from 1 species